CCUGCAAUAACCCUUCAAAUUCCUCAGAGGAAACACCAUCAUAGCCCAAAUAGAAUACUUCCAGCUUGUAGUACAGCUGAAGUUGUAGUAUUUAAAUAUCCAUGUUUAUGCGCUAGCUUUAAAACUUGCAAGUAUUUGUUCCUUCCAGGAAGUAAGGGAGAUAAAAGCUAUCUCCAAACAGUUUCUGAUGCUGGGUGGUCUUAUCUUUAAAUAGCAAAUCACUUUCAUUGUGAAGGAGUUGAAAUGGCGUUACAUUCUGUUGUUUCUUGUUAACAUUGCACAUUGCAAGUUGGUAAGCUAACAAUUCUCUGGGGCUCAUAUAAAAAGACAUUCGAUGUACUACAUCACCUGGUGAAGGCUGAGUCAGGCUGAGGUAACUUUACUGAUAGUAAUUCUGUGUUCACUUUCUCUCAGGAUCACUGUAGGCAAAUCAUGCCAGAAGCUGUAGAUUGUCACCUGUUGGGGAUAGAAAAGGACACCUUGCACUUGACAGCUUACUUAGACCAGAUGUUUUUAGUUAAGAGUUUUAUACAGUCAGAAACAGGAACGAAGACAGAAGACUAAGCAUAAACUAAGUCACUCAACAGUAAGUUCUCAUCUUGCCCUUGUAUAUAAAAUUAUUUG
ensembl:lncRNA